UUUUUUUUUUUUUUUUGUGAGUGGGAGGUCUCUCUCUCGGGAGAGCUCCCACUUAUUUGAAACUAUUCACCCUAUGAUGCAUAUUUUAAAGUAGAUGAAAGGAUAGGAUCCAGAUAAGAAUUUUGACAGCAAUGAAGGUCUUUUAAGUAUUGGAAACGUGUACUUAGAUCUCAAUAUAGAGGAGAUUGAAAUAUUAAAUAAACUACCAAAGUUGUAACAUAUUUCAGGAAGGAAUGAAUUAAAUGGCACAGGAAAACAGAGUGUAAAUGAGAGAUUCGAAAUUUAAAACCUCACACCUAUACUUAAAAAAAAGUCAAAAAAAAAAGUUGUAACAUACUCGGAGCAUUUGGACAACAUUAAAGCAUUAUUGAAUACUCCCUCUGUCCUAUCUUGAUAGUCCUAGUUUUUUCACACAGUUUAAGAAAAAGUAAUUAACUUUGUUGGAAAAACAAAUUUAGAUUGCUAUUUUUCUAAAAUACCCUUACAUUAAAUAAAGUUGGCUUUUCAUAUAUCUAUAUGUUUUGAAAAAUCUAAAUGCAUUAAAUGGGGUAUGUUAUAUUCAAUACUAAUAAUCUAUAUUAAAUAAGGUAAUUUAUAGUAAUAACAACUUACAUUAAAUAAGGGUAUUUUAGAGAAAUUAAAAGAUAACUACAUUUUUCAAUUGGAAAGUGGACUACAAUUUGGAACAAACGAAAAAAGGAAAACAAGACUAUUAAAGUGGGACGGAGGGAGUAUCUAUCUAGAUUAGGUAUCAGUGGAUACAUUUCUGAUAAAAUAAAUCGCAUUCAUACAACCUGAAAGUGUCAGCAGAAAUGUAUCUCUGAUAAGUGAUCAUGAAGAUGACCCAAUAUUACUAUUGCAAAAGGAAAGAAGGGAUAAACGCAGAUUCUUUUUUGUUUUUAUUUUUUGAGUGCAAAAGAAUAUUGAAAGAAUUGGAGGACAUAUGACCAAAUUCUGGCACUCGAAAAUAUUUGACCAAAUUCUGAUUCUUGAACUCUUGUAACUAUCCUUUUUUUUUUCUUUUUGGCAGUAAAUUUAUUCCGUUCUUUUCUAUUAUAAUGGAUUGUACAUGAAGCCACUGUAGUAAGGUAGUUUUACCAAGAAAUCUAAAAUAGAGGCACUCUGCAUAUCUUUUAAGUACAAAAGAAGAGUUGUAUAAUCACUUUGUGAGAACCCGUAUUUUUCCCAUUUUUUAGGUUUUAUUAUUUUCCGUGGCUUGUUUUCUGCAUUUUCGUGAUUAGGAAAAUUUUUAGAUACUUUUAAGGAGCAGAUAUAAUUUUUAGAUGAUUUUUCUAGUAUCAAAUAGAUUUUUAGAAAUUAAGAGCAUAUACCGGACGUGGGACCCACUGAUGCGAAAAGUUCGGAAAAAUUCGGCCAACUAGAUUAAGUUUUGAAUACUGGAAUUAAUUUACCGGGUGUUAAGAGAUAAGUAGAGGGUGCUAAGUGGAUUGAUAUAAGAGAGACAAGGUUGGUGAACAUUUAUUAAAAGGUGACAAGUGUCACCAUUUGAGAGGUUGAACCUUAAGACCACUAUUCAUGGUCUUACCAUUUGACUUAAAUAAACCAAAAAUGACCCAAAAAUCAUCAAAAUAUCCUCCAUGGUGGCCGAGCUUCUUGAGCAACAAAAGAAAGAAAGCUCUUCAAGAUUUUAGCUUCAAUCUUGCUUCAAUCAUCAAAACCAACCAUCCAACCUUGAUUUUCCUCCAUAAAACACCUUCAAGUAGUGUUUGUGAGUUGUUGUGUGAAGUUAUUUGGAAAGUUAAGGUGACCAAUAACUCUCUCUCUCUCUUGUGUUCAAGGUAAGUUGUGAAGAACCACCCUCCUCCCUUAAUUGAUGCUUAAAUCAUGCUUAGUGGUUGUAUGAGAUGCAAAUUUAUGGGUUAUUUCUUGAUUUGUGAUUGAAAUGAUGAAGUUUUAUUAUUUUUGGAGAUUUUUCUGUUUUAAUAUAAGCAUGAUUGUGUGGCUAUCUAUGAUGAUUAGAAAUGGUAUAUAAGGCAUCUAGAAGGUGGAAAAAGUGGAAGAUUGCAAGUAAUUUCUGUUUUGGAAGAAAAUUGAAAAACCUAGGGUUCAUGAAGCUACAUUCUGUCCGAAUUUUUAGGUCCUAGAUAGAGGCCGAAUUGGCCUUGGCUUAAAACAUGAAAGUUGUAGGGAAUAACAUUUUAGAGGUGACUACAAAAUUUCAGGUCAAUCGGAGUAGUGUAGAAUGAGAUAAGUCGAAAUUACUAUUGCUGUUCUGGUUUUACCCGAAAUUGAGAAGUGCGUCUGUAAUGGGUUGUUUUGGCUGGAAUUGCUUCCGAAUUGGUUGUUGAGGCCUUCUAAUGAAAUUUAGCUCUGUUUCUUAGCUUUCAGCUGGUUUUGGAAUUUCUGGAUUUGGACUUGGAGAGCCUGAGUUAUGAUGUUUCCGCUAGAAUGCGUUUUGGUGAAUCUGUUUUACGUUUUUGAUGUAGUAUCUUGCAUUUUUGACCUGUUUGCACUCAAAAAUGGGUUGAGUGACCUUCUUCAAUAUUGUAGCCCUAUCUCUUAGCUUCGAAACGGUGGGUCUUGCACCUUCAUCCGAUAAUCGUAGUGCCUUUGGCACCAUUACCGCAAAAUGAGGACAAAAACUGUUUUUUUUCAGGGCUAAAGCUAAUUGCAUUUCCGAAUUUUCUGGUUUCCUCUAUUGUUUGUGUAUGCUUAGGGAACCCUGUUUUGGUAGUAUGUAGAAUUGGUUUAUGACUUGUAAUCGAGUCUUAUUGUGUUUUAUUGGAAUAGUUUAGGGCUUGACUUUCAUAUCCGGUCAUUUCCUAGCUAAAUUUUGUACUUGAAUGCCAUUAAGCCUAGUGAACGGCUUUUGGGAAUGAGAUUAUUUUUGGACGAGAUGUUGGGACUAAUUUGAGGAAAUAAUGAAGCCAUGAUGGCUGGAAAAUAGGUAAACACAAGGGUUAUGCUGCCGGAAUUUUUCUUGAAGGCUAGUUGGAUUUACUUGUGAUUUGAACGAAGGGCUUUUGGGUUGUUUGAGCCUAGGUCUUCAUGUUACCUUUUUGUUACCAAAAAUCAUGUUUUGCACCCUUGCUUUAGUAAUUAUUUGGCGAGGCAUACGACUGGUAGUCGAGCCUCACAUGUGCAUUCUGUAUACUCGAUUUUGAAAGUGGAAUCUUCCAUUGUUUUCCUUGGAUUAUUUUGGGGUUUCUUGGUGAUUAAAGCUCUCUUUUGGGAGGUAUCUGCACUGACCCUGGUGAGUGUACUACUCACUUGUGUGUUACUAUAUGGCUUUGAAUGUAAAUUGUUUGAAGUAAAUUGAAUGUGACUUGAUUGAAGUGAAAGUGUACUUUAUCGCUCUCACUUAUAUGCCUUAUAUCAUUGUUGUCAUGUUAUUGGAAUGUUACAUGAAAUGUUACAUGAAAUGAAAGUUGAAAUGAAAGUACUUUUCGAUUGGACGAGUAUCCAACGAUUACAAAUGUUAUCAAUGAGCUCAACCCCAUUGGUAGUUGAUUGAAUCGAGCCGGCGAGGGCUUGGUCGUGCCAAUUAAUGAACCUUGGGUAAAGUUAUAUGGAAUCUUGUAGUAUGCGAGACUCUCGAUUCCGGUAUACUCGAGUAAUACCAAAGUGCAAGUGUUUGGAGUUCGGGCCCGGUAGGGGGAUGUUAGGUGGAAGGAGUGGAGGGAAAGUGGAGUCUACGGUUGGUUACUUUUCGAACAUUGACGGAGAGUCAAUGACGUCCGAUCAAGAAAUGCAAACGAGGAAAAGGCUCUUGAGAGCCAUCUGUAUCCUUUUAUCACCAUAUUUGACGUGUGCCUUUGCUUAUCUUACUAUAUUGAAUGAAAGCUUGAUGCUUAUAUGCACUUGGUUGCGUAAGUGAUAGUAUCUCACUGGGCAAUUAGCUCACACCGUUCCUUUUGUUUUCCUUACAGGAAUAUGACUCUUUUUGGAAUGAAUCUUGAUAGAUGGUUGCCGAAUGAACUAGAUGUAUAUUUCUUUUGUAUUGUAUAUGAAGUGAAACCCUAAAUGUAUCUUUAGGGCCGUUUUCACUUUCAAUUUGGCAAAUCGUAUAUAUAUUAACUUUUGAAAACUUUUGUAUGUCACUUUGGAUUGUAUUUGCUAAAGUUCAAGAUGUGAAUGUUUGUUCGAUAUUUGGUUGCGUUCUGACGGGUCGGUUACUAUUCAUGGCCGACUCCGAAUUUCUUUUUUUUUUUUGGGUUAUUUUGCCCUUUUGCCUUGUUUACGCGCGUUAUAAGUUCCGGAACGCAAUAGAUCGCUCUAAACUGCACCGUUAGUCCUGGCGAGAGUUGGGCAGGCAAUCCGCUAACCCCUUUGGUUCGCCUUAGGGGAAGGUGGGACUGUCACACACUUACUAAAAUAAAGUAUUUUAAAGUAGUACCCUUCAAACUUCAAUAGCUGCCUUUUUGGUUCAAGGCAUGAUUCAAAAGGAAAGUUUGAUGCUUUAUCCUUUUAUUUAAUAUUUCAUGUGCUCCAGUUGUUGGAACUAUCAAGACACUUUGAACCUUUUCCCCUUUUUUAAUUUUUGCUAUUUAAUCACUUUACGAUUAAUUUUUUAUACAGUGACAGUAUAUACAAUUUCACCAUUAGAUGAAUAACACAUAAUUUAAAUUUGAAUUUAAAAUUCAAAAUUUACACAUAUGUUAUGCAUUCAACUGUAAUAGUGUAUAUAUUAUCAGUGUAUAUAAAAUUAACUCACAACUUUAUUUGCUUUAUGGAUUUUUUUCCAUUUGCGGAAAUGGGAUCAAUAGUGCUGGAGUGCACAUGGAGGAUUUUUCUUAAUUUGUUUUGUUUAGAUAAAGUUGCUGGAAGAGUUAAAGGAUUAGUUGUACAUUCCAAUGCCAACAUUUAAAUGCUUAGCUCCGAAGCCAAUGAGCAGAGUCCUAAAAAGCAUAUUCAUCAAUAUGACGGCUACCUAUUCUUUUUUGUCUAUUGAAAGACUUUUUCUAUUUUAAGUCUUAUCUGCUACUUUGCUACUAUAAAAAAUUCAUUUCCUUUCAUCUCUUCCUUUCAUGAGAGACUGAGUCUAACACUUUUGUAUAGUACUACUUGAGCCUUUACUCAUAUAAGUGUACAUCUUUUUGCCAAUCACUAUAAAAACUACCGUUGCUGAAAAAAAAAAAAAAAAAAGAGAGACUGAGUAACUUCAUUGUUUUCUUGGAUUUGUCUAACGGACAUGAGAUGAAGGAUUUUUUAUGGAUUAAAUCUUAUAUACAUUGACAGUAUAUACACUAUCAUCAUGUAUAUCACAUGUGUGAAAGUUGGAUUUCAAAUUUAAAUUUUAUAUAAUUGUCAUUCAUCUAAUACUGGCGGUAUAUACACUGUCGAUGUAGGAAAGAUUAAUUCUUUUUCUAUAUCAUGCAUUUUGCUCUUGAAUUGUCUGUGGUGAUUUUUGGGGUGCAGAAACUAUACAAUGACUAAAUAGGUCCAAAAAAAUAAAAAUGGGAGAAUCAAUUAGGCUAGGAAAAAGAAUUCAAAGACUAAAUCUGUCUUCAUAGAAGUUGGAGGAUCCCGAAUAAUCAAUCGGUCUGUCUUUGUUAAAAUAUAUUUCAAAUGUGAUGUUUUUAGAAAUAUAAGAUUAAUUAGGAUCAAUAAAUAAAUAUAAGAAAGUGUAGACAAAAUUAAAUAAAAAAUAUAUAUAAAUACAAGGGAUAAUAACAAUUAUUAGUACGUGUAUUUAUAGGAUUGGUAAUUUCAAUUUUCCCAACAUCAGUCCGUUAGUACAGUUUGUAUAUUUUGAGUUUCCGUACAAAAAAAUUAAUCCACACGUACAAUCAAUCAGUAGAAAGUUUCAUGUAAAAGUACAAAAUUUUGAGCUCUACCAAACCCACCCUAAUAUCAGAAUUAGUCUCACAUUUUGUUACCAUUUACUUGUCAAAUCUCAAUAUAAUCAGUCUCAUCAAUAUGACUUUUUUGUCACCACAAAAUCACAGCCCACAAUAUCUUCUCAAGAAUGCACUUCCCCAGUGUCACACGUUUAAAGAAUGGCAAUCCAGACCAUCAAGCAAGAUGACCAAUUCCAUACACGGUUCUUGAACUUGUCAACAAAAUGAAAUAACAAAGCACGAUGGACGCACCACUAUUGACAGUUUGUCUGGACGUCACAAAGUCCCCCUCUAAAGAAGCGAUAUUUGCUAUUCGCCACGACCAUAGCAUUUCAAGAUUUGAUUAGGUGGGAGGUCAAAAUUCAAAUUGUGUCUUUCAUUACUUACUAUUAUGUGUGGAUCAGUAUGGCUGUCACUUUAAAUGGUUUAAAUUCAUAUGAAUGUGCAUUGAACUCGUCUGGUCUGACGGUGGUUCAAUCUCUGUCGGUUCCCUUAUGAUUCAGUUGGACUCUCCUCCUCAAUAUAGAUUAGAGUAGGAAUAGGAGUAAAUAUACGAUUGACAAAAAAAAAGUUAUAUUUGUUGGAAAUAGAAUUUUUGUAAAUAGGUAUAAUCUUAAUAUAAAUCUGAAUUAUAAUUGAAUUAAUGUAAAACUAACAAUUACGUUAAAAAUAUAUUAAUUUACAUCGAAAUUGUGCAAGUUUACACAAUUAGUUAGAGCUGAAGAGAACCUUAACUAGAGAGGCUCCGAAUCCAUAUUUAUUGGCUUGUUCUCAUUCCAAUUAAAAAAAAAAAGAAAAAAGGAAGCAUCCCAUUUAACUUGGCCAUAGAAGAGAUGUUCUUGAAGAGUUGAAAAAAUCAUGUGUAGCCUUGAAAAAACCAAAAUACAAAUUCUUCAACCUAUAAAUUUAUUGUAGUUUUACUCGGUUUGUUUUGUCGCACGUAAACAGAUAUUCGUGGCCCAGUGUCAUUCAUUAUUUCACUCUUGCAAAUAAUGUCAAACUAAGUGUAAAAUAGUAUUCCAAACCAUAUAUAUAUUUUUAUUUUUUUCAAAUGGCAAACUAAACAUGGCCAAGUGGGACAUUUCCAUCUUUCCAAAGCUGCAAGUUGAAAGGAUAUUUAAUCCCAAAAGAAACCAUUCGGCCAAAGGUGGGGGCUAGCAGACAAUAUGCUAGUUGCCAAGUAAAGAUGGCUUAGAAUUUCAGAAGACUCUGCGAACUUUCACUAUUUCAAAGUUCAAACAACAAAAACCAACGGAAAUGUAUAGGCAUCCUUUGUCAGGAGCAAGUCAGCCAACUUCCUUGUUCAUAACAAUUUUAUCUCCUUCCCCAAUCUUUCCUGAGAAUUGGACUCAGCCCAACUCAAGAUUUCUGAUACUAUACAUUGCACAGAUCCCCCUCUAAUCCAUUUGUUAUUGUUUUUUUCUUUUUCUCCCGUAAAUCAAACGUUAAAGAUGAUGAUGACCAGGUGUCCAGAGGCCUAUAGAGUCUUCUGCAAUCCAGUCAAAGUAAUGGGGAUUUUUGUAGCUUCCUUGGUGGGGUUCUUGGUUUGGUUCUCAGCAAUGAGCGGCUGGCCUUCCUAUGGCUUUCAAUGGAGUCAGAAACCAGGGAAAGAAGGUAUCUAGCUGGCUCCUGCUUUGCUAUUGAUUACUUCUUUUUUUUUUUUUCUUGUUUGGCAGAAUAAAUCUCAUUGAUUUGUUUCUUUGAUUUGCAAAGAUAAUCCAAAAUUCAAGAGCUUGCUUGAAUCUGUUUAAGUGGUUUGUCUCUUGUAGCUUUUGCAUUGAACCAAUGAAUCUUGGAAGUUGCUGUUUUUGCUAAGUAUCUCCGCGUUUGAGUAAUUAUUGUGAAUUGGGUGCCCGUUGACCGAAUUUGAGUAAUUCUUAUGUGGAAUUAUUAUUACGAGGCAUCAUUACUAGCAAGAAUUACUAGAAAUUAAUAAGACUUUACACUUUUUUAAGAAAAUUCAAAUCAACUUCAAUUGCUUCUGAAUUUGGCAUUGUUUUGAUGAUUAUUACAUCUCCAAUUGCAAAAUUUAUAUACAAUUAGAACCCUUGAUCUUGUUCAUUAAAACUUUCUCCAAGGUGCAAAAGCAUGUUAGGUUAAUGUGCAGAUUUCCAAAUUAGAUUGACCUUACAAGAACUGACACUUUUUGGGAUAUAAGAUCUUGAAACUUAUGUCCUUUAUACUGUGAGAAAUGAAAUUGAUUAGGAUACGAGUACAAUUUUUGGAUGCAUGAUUGAAUGGACCAAAUCAACAUAGUCAUUGCUAGAUUAGGUACCUUCUCAAGAAAAUGGGAUUGAUCCCAUUUGAAACUAUUGAUUGAGACCUCCAAAAUCCAAACAAUUAGUCAUGAAACACUUAGAUUAGAAAAUCAAUCGAACAAAUGUGUAUGCACUAUGAACACAUAAACAAAUUUCUAUGGAUUAAAAUCCUCCUAAGAUGCAUAUUUCUACCGAUGGAAGAAUUAGUGAGAUAAUUAACUAGGUAGAUCCUAUUGUAGUACAUGAAACUACCUAACUUAUUAUUAGGCUAUUUGGUAAUAUAUUCCAUUAGGUUGUUUUGGAUGGGAUUAGGUGUUUAUGCAUAUAAUCGGGUAAAUGCACAAAGAUAGACACAGUACUAUUUGGAGCAAAAUUUUGAUGCAUUGAACAAUUGAACAUAGUGGAAUUUAGAAAGUCAAAGGUGUCUAAUCUUUGGUCUCUUAUCCUCUCAGAUUACUUUAAACAUGUCAUACUCUAUUUAAUUUUAGUCAGUUGUGAUUAAUCAUUACAAUAUCUUAUCAUUUUUGUUUUUGGUAAGGUAAAAUCUUCAUAUAUACUAUUUGAAUGUCUCUCUCUCUCUCUCUUAUUGGUCCCUUUUCUUUUUUGGUUUAUUUUUUAUUCCUAGCUAAGGCUUUGAUAUUUAAGGAUAAAUUUCCUAAAUUGAUGGAGAUAAGAAAGUGUGAAAUAAUAUAAUCUUUUAUACUUAUUUCUUCUUCAUUUUUCCAAUUAGUGAAUUUUAGUGUCUAAUGUUCUAUGAAAUUCUAAUGAACAUGGUCACCAGGAUACCUAAUGGUCAAUAUAAUCCUAUGUAAAAUGUCUUUCUUCCUUAGCUAGAGUACUAGUCAGACUCUGACCUUCCCAUCUCCUUUCCUGCACCUUCUAAAACAUUUCAGGAGAAGAAAAAAACAACAACCAGUAUAAUGAGUGAAAUUUUCAUAGUUGAAACUGUAUAUUAAGUUAUUGAGCAAUAUGAUUUUUUUUUAAACCUACAUGAACAUUGGUAAUGUAUAAUGGUUUAUUUAGAUUUUUCCAAAAAAAAAAAAGGGUUCAUUGAGAGGCCUCAUUUUUUUCAAACAUGAGAAUAGUUGAUCUAUAUGUGGUUAAACAGCAAAAAACUUAAAGUUGCCAUGCCGCCCAUUACACCAAGUGUUCAUCAUAUUUCAUGGUCAAGAAUUUAUGGAAAUAACUCACGCGAUCCUUCGAACUUUUGAAAUAUUUAUGUUGGCUCCCUGAACACUGAGAAAUCAAAGAUUUCUCUUUGUUUCAUUUAUCAGAUGUGAUUGUUUAAUGUUGUUUGGUGGGAAUUGUUCCAAAUUUUCUUCCGUUAGUUGAUUAGUGUUCUCUGGCUCAUUGAAUUGCUUGAGAAGAGGCUGUUGCCUCGUGUCUGUUAGCUUCACAUGCAAAUUGCUCACGAUGAAAUAUUAGAGCCAUUUGCUUGACAUUUGCCAUCAUUGUCCUCAACUAUUUUUUCCAUAACUCUUCUCUUUUCUUUCCACAGAUGUUAAUUUGGACGACAUUAUAGAACAGAUCAGGUACAUUGGAGAUUCUUUUCCCCAGCCAGUCGAGGUGCCAAAGGAUAAGCUUCUUGGUGGCCUUUUCCCAGAAGGAUUAGAUGUAAAUACAUGUGUAAGUAGGUAUCAAUCAGCCUUGUACAGAAAGGAACAAAAACACCAGCCUUCUCCCAAUCUAGUCUCAAGGUUAAGAAAAUAUGAAGCCCUGCAUAAACAAUGUGGACCAUUUACAGAGUCCUACAACAGAACCUUGGAAUAUCUCAAGUCAGGCAACCAUGGCCAAGACUCCAAUUCCACUGGUUGCAAGUACGUAAUCUGGAUUCCAAUGGCUGGUUUAGGAAACAGAAUGCUUAGCUUAUCAUCUGCUUUUCUUUAUGCCCUGCUAACAAAUAGAGUCCUACUUGUUGAUCCAGGAAGUGGAGUUUCUGAUCUUUUCUGUGAACCAUUUCCUGAGGUUUCCUGGUUACUCCCCUCUAACUUCCCCCUUAUUGGUAAGUUCAGUAGCGUUGAUCAGAAAUCUCCUGAGACUUUUGGAAACCUGUUGAGAAACAGAAGCCAUGCUAAUUCAACUUCAUCUUCCCUGCCACCAUAUCUCUAUCUCUAUCUAGUCCAUGACUAUGAUGAUUUUGACAAGCGUAUCUUUUGUGAUCAUGAUCAUACUAUUCUCCAGAAUAUACCUUGGCUUAUUGUGAAAUCAAACAUAUAUUUUGCCCCAUCUCUUGUUUCAAUUCCAUCUUUUCAGCAAGAUAUUAGCGAUCUAUUCCCAAAUUUAGGAACUGUGUUUCAUUACCUGGGCCGGUAUCUCUUUAAUCCCACCAACUUUAUUUGGGGGCUUGUCACCAGGUAUUACAACAUCAAUUUAGCCAGGGCAGAUGAAAAGAUAGGCAUUCAGAUACGAGUACUAGACAAAGAUUUUGGUCGUUUUGAGCGCGUGCUAAAUCAGACUUUGGGUUGUAUGCUGAGGGAGAAUCUGCUACCAGAAAUCAACGGGACCAAACCUGUCGUCAUUCAAUCUGGAAAGCUCAAGACUAAAGCUCUUCUGAUUACAUCUUUAAGAUCUUGGUACUCCGAGGCAAUAAAAAGCAUGUACUGGAAACGUUCCACCGUCACAGGCGAAGUGGUUGAAGUACACCAGCCAAGCCAUGAGCAGUACCAGCAUACUAGAAGACGAAUGCACAAUAUAAAAGCAUGGGCAGAAAUCUAUCUGCUGAGCUUGACUGAUAAGCUGGUCACAAGCGGAGGUUCAACUUUUGGCUAUAUAGCUCAUAGUCUUGGAGGAUUGAAGCCAUGGAUCCUUUACAAGCCUGAGGAUCAUGUAAUCCCAAAUCCACCAUGUCAGCGGGGCGUGUCAAUGGAACCUUGCAUGCAUGCCCCUCCAUAUUAUGAUUGCACAAGUAAAAAAUGGACUGGCCCAGGUGGUAAACUUGAUCCUAAUGUACAGCAUUGUGAUGACAAAUGGUGGGGUAUUAAAUUCAUUGACAGAGAAUAGGACUAGUGACCAUUUUGUUAAUUCCUGGAGAAAUAGAAAGAAAAAAUUUUCCCUUGUACACUUCAAUAUUUGCAGUGAUAUAGUCCAAAUAUUGUUUCUUCUUUUCUCAAAGAUUGCCUGAAGGACAAUGUAGUAAGCCAGUUUUACCAGAGGGCUUCAUACAUGGCCAUUUCAGCUUAACAUCUAAAACCAGGAACCACGGGCGCCAUUUUGCUCCAGCAUUGCAAUUCCAGUUCCUGUAAAGCACUAACCAAAUCUCAUCAAGCAGCAAAAGCUCGAAAGCUCAUUGGCAAAUCUAACCAAACAGCAAAGAGCUUGAAUUGUAGGGAAACUAUGCUUGUAGCACCACAAACAGGAUGAAUGCGUAAAACGUACGAUACUGGCUUUAUGGGCUAACAAAUACAAUAUCACAUAACAUCUCCACUAUCAUAAGAGCUAUUCCUCGUAUAUUUGAGAGAAAUGAAACGAGAACCUUGAGCACAAUGCUAUGGUAGCCAUUGAUGCUGUUUUAUCCCUUUUUGGUCAAAGGAGACUUCAAUACUUCGAUACUGCUUCCAAGAGAAAGAGCCACACAUUUGAGCCAAGCUGAGUGCAUGGAACACUGGUUCAUGGCAGCUGAUGACUACCCUAUUCAUCUAAAACAUGCUAUCUAGAGGUUUCUCACCUUCUCAUUGAUUAAACUGAUUACCCUCUGCUCAUUAUUCACGCAGGUGCUUCUGCACAACAGAGAGAUUGAGCAAAUGCCCUGUCCCUAGCCCUACAGAAGUUGCGCUAGAGGAUAUUUGUUAUUAAGCAUAACUGAUUCCACAACUGAAUCCAAACAGCUUCACCAAGAAAUAUAUGUUAUACGAAGACAACUUGGAGAUGAAUGUAUACACAAAACAUUUACUCUGCAAUAAACCGCAAAGAUCCAUUACACAAGUUGAAAAGCAUAAUCAAACAGUGAUGUUCAAAGCCUGAUAUCAUUGCUGAACUUAGUAUCAGAUAGUCACAAUGACAUUUAGAUCGGUAAAGCCACCUUUAGAAACUCCAUCAAACUCUGAAAUGCCUUAGUUUUUCCUCCCCUCACACAAGAUAAUGUGGUAUCCAUGU
rnacentral:lncRNA from 1 species